UACGUAGGGACCAAGCGUUGUUCGGAAUUACUGGGCGUAAAGCGCACGUAGGCGGCCAUUUAAGUUGGAGGUGAAAGCCUUGGGCUCAACCCAAGAAUUGCCUUUGAUACUGGAUGUCUCGAGACCGGGAGAGGUGAGUGGAAUUCCGAGUGUAGAGGUGAAAUUCGUAGAUAUUCGGAAGAACACCAGUGGCGAAGGCGGCUCACUGGCCCGGCUCUGACGCUGAGGUGCGAAAGCGUGGGGAGCAAACAGG
rnacentral:rRNA from 1 species